rnacentral:rRNA from 1 species
CAGUAGCGUAUGCUAACGUUGUUGCGGUUAAAAAGCUCGUAGUUGGAUUUCUGGUUUGGCGUACCUGGUCCUCGGCGCUUAGGCGCCGUGAGUACCGGUUGUUGACGCCGUCCAUCCUGGCGGGUUGCCUUCGGGCGGCUUGCCUCCUUUACUUUGAACAAAUUAGAGUGUUUAAAGCAGGCGAAUGCUGUGAAUACCUUAGCAUGGAAUAAUAAGAUAGGACUUUUGUUUUAUUUUGUUGGUCUUUAGGACAAGAGUAAUGAUUGAUAGGGACAGUUGGGGGUGCUAGUAUUGAAUGGCCAGAGGUGAAAUUCUUGGAUUCAUUCAAGACUAACUAAUGCGAAAGCAUUCACCAAGGAUGUCUUCUUUAA